AACGAACGCUGGCGGCAUGCCUAACACAUGCAAGUCGAACGAACCCUUCGGGUCUUGUGGCGCACGGGUGCGUAACGCGUCGGAACCUUCCCUUAGGGUCGGCAUAACUCCCCGAAAGGGGUACUAAUAGCGGAUAAUGUCUUCUGCCCAAAGAUUUAUCGCCUUUGGAUGGUCCCGAGUUGGAUUAGCUAGUUGGUAGGGUAAAAGCAUACCAAGGCGACGAUCCGUAGCUGGUCUGAGAGGAUGAUCAGCCACACUGGGACUGAGACACGGCCCAGACUCCUACGGGAGGCAGCAGUGGGGAAUAUUGGACCAUGGGCGAAAGCCUGAUCCAGCAAUGCCGCGUGAGUGAUGAAGGCCUUAGGGUUGUAAAGCUCUUUUAACCAGGAUGAUAAUGACAGUACCGGGAGAAUAAGCUCCGGCUAACUCCGUG
rnacentral:rRNA from 1 species